rnacentral:lncRNA from 1 species
AUUUCAACAGCGGUUCGACAGACUCUUGAAUUUUUCUUCCCCACGAACCUGAUGUACCGCAGGCUGUAGAGACCAUCCGCCGCCGAUUGUGAGCGGUUGCACUCCACAGAUGGGCAACAUGAUUAGGGACACUCUUCUUCAAGAAGCAGAUCUAAACUGAUACCCUCCUCAGUGACUGGUUAAGCUUGAAAAAUGACAAGUACCUGCUUGC